UCUUGGCGGCGGUGCGAGCCCGGCGGGUGCCAGCCCAGACGCAGGCGGGGUGAGGUCACCUCUCCCCGGGGCCCCCCGCAGGCUUUUCAGAGCUUCGCCACCCGCCGGCGGCCAGUGCAGCCGCCCGCCUCGCCCAUGUCCAUGUCGCAGCUUGCCCCCGGCUCGGACCUGAAGGCAGCUUUGGACAGCAGUCCCGAGGCCAACACCGAAGAUGACAAGACCGAGGAGGACCUGCCCAUGCCCAAGAACUACCUGUGGCUCACCAUCCUCUCGUGCUUCUGCCCUGCCUACCCCAUCAACAUUGUGGCGUUCGUCUUUUCCAUCAUGUCUCUGAACAGCUACAACGAUGGAGACAUUGAGGGAUCCAGACGGCUUGGGAGGAACGCCAAGUGGGUGGCAGUGGCCUCCAUCAUCAUCGGCCUUCUCAUCAUUGGCAUUUCUUGCGCGGUGCACUUCACAAGUAACACCUGAGGAGGCAGAAGUCAACAAAGGGACUGAUGUGCAGACCUCAACCAUGCCCCAGAGGAGUUUCCAAGGAACAGAUCCUUGACUUCAGACUGUGAGACCUCUUCCUCCAGGAUUCUCCAGUGGCAGGUCCCUGGCAAAUGAACUUUGAAGGAAAAACAAACAAAAAAAAAAUAAUAAGCCCAGAUUUUAGGAAAAGCAAGCAACACAGCCAGAUCAACCAGUCACUGAUUUUUUUUUUAAUGGGGAAGAAAAAAAAAUCAAGUGUUACUGUCUGUAGCAAAGGCCUUUGUGUCCAUUUUUCUUGUCCAGAAAUGAGCCUCAGGAAAUCUGAUUCCAGAUAGUGUUGAGGGAAAGGGGGCUGGUUCCAGGUGUGCGGGGAGAUGGAGGUUCUAGGAGGACCCUGAGAGGCUACUAGUGUUUGCCAUGGUGAGCACAUACAUUCUCAGCACGUUUCAAGCUGUCUGCUCGAAAUGAACUCAUGCGUUUCUCCUGCGACGGCCACACAAUGUGGGUUCACUCCAGUCUUCCUCCUGCAUCAGCUGCUCCCCAUUCCCAGAGUUCAUGCUCCCCCACCAUCAAAGAAACAGCAGAGGUCUUCUGGCUUUGGGUCUUGGUCUCGCUUUUCCUAAGGGCCUCCUUCCCUGGCCUUGCUUGCUUCUACUGUUGGUCAACUUGGCCUCAACCCCAUUCUUCAUGCGGACAAACUGAGAAUGUACUGAGUGGUCCAUUCUAGGCCCGAGAGCGCCUGCUCCAUCCCAGUUUGGGGAAUCAGCUGGCUUUGUUUAUGGAGUAUGUUUUUCUCAAGACUCUCUCUUUCUCUUGUAAGCACAUCUCAGGCAAGACAUACAACAGUCUUGGGUGUUGCCCAGAUAUCCCACUCAUUGCAUUUUUUUUUCUCUAACAAAUAUAAACCUUUUUGGGUGUGAGUGGACUGGUUGAAUGAUGCCAUUAUUCUGCCGGUCAGAACACACCAGCCCAGGGCUCACAGGAUGCUCAGUGUACCGCUGGUGGUACACAAGAUCAUGUUUAAGGCGUCCACAGACACACAAUCACUGUUUCCCUUUUUGUAUUCUUUUUGAAGCCUGAUUACAGCUAGGAGAGAAGGCCCCAGUUAGUGCUUGCAAGUCCUUAGUGUCCUUGAUACUACAGCUUUCCUUUUCCUUUUUAACAAAGAAAGAGCAGGUUCAAAGUCUUCAGUCUAGAUAACUUCCAUCAGAUGGUUUUGUUCUCACUGUAUUCAUUAAUCACCCUCAAUCCAUUGCUUUCCCUUUUGGGAUGUGCUAGAUGAUCUUAAAUGGAUUUACUUAAGAAAAGUUACGUUGACUCAGAGAAAACUAUUGAGUGAUUAGCCUAAGAAGUGAGAUGUAAAUACAAUAGAAAUAACUCCAAGAAUUGAAGUUAGAAACAGGGUGAUAAUGACCCUUCCUAAGCAAGAGCUUAUUCUAACUGGAUGAACAUGGGACUAUGUCAGACAAAACCCAAGAUUCAAAGCCUUUGUUUGUAUGACACGAACUAGCUAUGCAAGUUGAUUUGGCAAGU